GCUGGGUGUGGUGGUACACACCUGUAGUCCUAGCUACUUGGGAGGCCGAGUCAGGAGCAUUGCUUGAGCCCAGGAGUUUGAGGUGGCAGUGAGUUAUGAUCAUGCCAUUAUACUCCAGCCUGGGCAACAGAGCAAGACCCUGUCUCUA
rfam:Pan troglodytes isolate Yerkes chimp pedigree #C0471 (Clint) chromosome 22, whole genome shotgun sequence.